AAAAAAAUGAUGUGUCUUCCCCAAGCUUUGGGUUUGGCAUGAGCGCGGGAUUCAGAAGCCGCUGGCUCGGGUGCCGCUCGGUGCCUCUGACGUAGGCCGCCAGAAGAUGGAAUCGGGCAGCGAGGUUGGAACGAGCGCAGUGCCUUGACGGCGCCUAUCGGCAAGCAGCGAGCCGUCAGCGGUGUCUCUCACCGGGCGAAAAGGAGCAUCAACUGCAGGCGGACUGUGACAGAGCAGCAUUGCACCUCCAUUGCAAUCCGGCUUUAGCAGAAUCCUCGACAGGCGCUGCCACUGCAAGAAUAUUGCUGUAAUCGGCUUCUUCUACAGAACAGCCUAUGCUUCAGUUACUAAUCCAGGUCUCCUCACCUUGCCUGUCUCCGCCACUGCACCCGACACCGGGAAAGCUCACGGGCGCGUAUUCCAGUUUAGAAAGGAAGAAUUAAUAUAUAUCGCUGCUUUAAAUAUUUAUCUCAUCCGGUGUUUUCACCGGACAUUCUAAUAGCUUCUUUAUCUGACUCCCCUGGAGAAGAACAAGAGGAUAUUUGACGUGCAUUUGAAACAAUUUAUUGUGGGAUUUCGAGGAUCAUAUUUUCCCUGGACACGUUUUUUCGAAUGAGAAUUUUUCUGCACCAUGAGCACUAGUGUACCCUACCAGCAGAGCUCCUAUGGUGGGGGCAGAGGAUCGGCCCCCAUACUCUGCUUCCGCUGUGGGGAGGCGUGCAAGGGUGAGGUGGUGCGUGUCCAGAGUAUCCACUUCCACGUCAAGUGCUUCACUUGUCAGGUGUGUGGCUGUGACCUGGCCCGCUCCGGAUUCUUCCAGAAGAAUGGGGAGUACAUCUGCACGGCUGACUAUCAGCGCCUGUAUGGUACCAGGUGUGACAGCUGUGAGGACUUCAUCACGGGCGAGGUGGUGUCGGCCCUGGGGCGGACCUACCACCCACGGUGCUUCGUGUGCAGCGUGUGCAGGAAACCCUUCCCAAUCGGAGACAGGGUGACGUUCAGCGGGAAGGAGUGUGUCUGCCAGCAGUGCUCCCACACGCUCGCUGGCGCUAACGAGCCAAUCAAGAUCCACGGGCCCAGCCAUUGUGCCGGGUGCAAGGAGGAGAUUAAGCAAGGGCAGUCCCUCCUGGCCCUGGAGAAGCAGUGGCACGUCAGCUGUUUCAAGUGUCACACGUGUGGCAUCGUCCUCACUGGGGAGUACAUCAGCAAAGACGGCGUUCCGUACUGCGAGUCAGAUUACCAUGCUCAGUUCGGGAUCAAGUGUGAGACGUGUAACCGAUACAUCAGCGGGAGAGUGCUGGAGGCUGGAGGGAAGCGCUACCAUCCCACGUGUGCACGUUGUGCGCGGUGUCACAUGAUGUUCACAGAAGGGGAGGAAAUGUACCUCACGGGUUCUGAGGUGUGGCAUCCACCAUGUAAACAAGCUGCACGGGCAGAGAAAAAGUUGAAGCUGAGACGCACAUCAGAGACCUCAAUCUCCCCCCCUGGCUCCAGCAUCGGCUCCCCCAGCAGAGUCAUUUGCGCCAGAGUGGAAAAUGAGAUCCUUAAUUACAAAGAUCUUGCCGCCCUGCCUAAGGUUAAAGCUAUUUAUGAUGUUCAGCAGCCUGAUCUCGUUUCCUAUGAGCCCUGUCACAGAUUCUCCUCCAAUGACAGGCUAGAGCACUACAGCUAUGGGGAGUCCCUGGGGACACUCUCGCCAUACUCGCAGGACAUCUAUGACAGCGUGGACCUCAGGCAAAGGCGCUGCUCCAGCCCAGCCUACAUCGACUCCCCCACCUACAGCCGGCAGGGUACAUCUCCCAGCAUGCCGCGUUCCGCCCAGCUCUACUGCCAUCUCGGCAGUGAGAGUGGCCGGAGCUCUCCCUAUCAGGGUCAGCUGGACCCCCGGUCCAGCACACCUACCACCUAUCAAGCCCCCAAGCAUUUCCAUCUGCCAGCAACAGGGGAUUCCAACAUCUACCGGAAGCCACCCAUCUAUAAGAGACAUGCCACAAAAAGCAAGACCAGCGAGAACAUCAUGCAAUCUUACAACUUCCCCUCGGCCUACUCCCCGGACCACUACUCAGAGUCAGACUACUACCACUUUGCCGGGUCCCCUAAAGUCUCUCGUGCUCCACGCCGGAGGUUCUCGUCAGGCGGGGAGGAAGACGGCUGGACUCACAAUCUGCACAGAAUCCAGAGCGGGAUUGGCAGGAUGAUCCUGAAGGAGGAGAUGAAGGCCAGAUCCGGUUCCUAUGACAACGACCCAUGGGCCAGCGGGCGCAGUUCCCGCAGCGGCAGCAAGGAGGCGCUGCAUAGCAUGGGCUACAACAACACCGUGAACGGCUCUCCUAGAUCACACUUCAGCGCAGACAGUGACUCCUUCAUCUCCAAGUCUGCCUCCUUGCCAGGCUACGGCAGGAACGGAUUGCACAGGUCACAGGCUGCUGAUUACUUCCAGUACGACAGUGGAAAUGCAGUGAACUGGGGCAUUAGAGAGUACAAGGUAAGAGUCUUCAUGGUGGAGACAGACUGAGAGUCUCAGGGAUCGAGGGGCCAAGAGACAUCUACACACUGAGGAGGAAGGGAAGCGGAGGCUCCUCACUGACGAGAGACCCCACGCGGGGGCCUGGAGUUAGGGUUUAAUCACAACGCGUGCCAGACCUUGGAGUGAGGAGCAAAUGAAAUCAGCUUCCUCAGAAUUACCUGUAGAUGGAGCUAGAUUGUCUUUGGUCUAGAUCCCACGCACAUUUUCCUAGACACGCGUCAGUAUCUGGCCGAAGAGUCACUGUGCAUUUCUAUCAUUUUGAAAUUUCAUCUCACUUAGCAUAGUUAUGUCAGGGCACGGUCCCGUACACAGUCUGACAUUCAGCUUUCACAUCUUCUGUUAGAUUUAUCCAUAUGAAACGCUGAUAGUGACCACAAGGGGGCGGAAUAGGCUGCCGAAGGAUGUGGACAGAGCCAGGUUAGAGCGUCACCUGUCACCUGAGGAGUUCUACCAAGUGUUCGGGAUGACAAUGACAGACUUUGACCGAUUGGCACUGUGGAAGCGGAAUGAGCUGAAGAAGCAAGCCAGGCUGUUUUAAUGGGAGGGGGUCCAGCCCGGGACCUGAAGCGGGUGCGGCGUACGCAAGAGCCCAGAAAGCAGGGCGGCCGUGGCAGGGAGUCCGUUUGAGCCACGGACAGGAUUCAGACACAUGCCGUCCCCGGGGGCGCUGCUGAACCUCCACAUCGCAAGAGCUUUGAGUUUCUUUGUUUUUUUCGACUGUUUCUCCUACGGACGGCCACGGCCCAAACCCGCACUAUUAGUCAUUCUGAGACCCCGGCCUUUGCCUUAGAAACUGUAGGUGCGCACCAACGACAUAGCAGGACGGCAAGUGCAGAGGCAUGUCGAAGAAGCGAAGCAUAACCACAGCUCGAUACUAACUGCGCAUUCAUACAGCGGUGACAGAUGCAGUUAAACUUUUUCCUUUCUUUUUAACGUAGAAGCCUUCUUGCUCACAGCGACUGCAGAUCUAUUUUUUUACAGAAAGGCGUCAAAAUAUAUAAUAUAGCAUAGAAAAAUAACACGUGGAUUUGAAGUUUUUUGGGGUAGCCAUAUUCUGAUAUUGUAAGUUGUGAUGUGUAGCUUGGAUAUGCCCUAAUUAGAACCAAAUUGGGGGACAGGAAAAUGUAAUGCAAAGAAAGUGUGUAUUUUAAAGUCCUGGAAAGUCGUGUUAUUAUUGUGUUUUCAGGAAACAAGGUUGACUCGAGGCUAUAGGUCUGCCGAAUGUAUUUCCAGCUAAGAUGCAUAGAAACUAUAAAAGUAUGGCAACCAAAAGAACAGAAAUUUAGUGGUUCCUAUAAGUGCUGCUUACCAAGACAUAUAUUUCUGUUCAUCUUUGGAGCGGGUGAGGUGCGUUUUUUCCUUGCUUUUCUUUUCGGUGAUAACCAUAUUUAUGUUUUAUGUUUUGGCAUUAUACACACAUUACCCAAUAAAUUAACUAAAGUGUACUUUUUUGUUGUGGCCCUUAGACUGUUAGUUAAACAGAAGGGUGUAUAAUUCAUACAUGUGAAAUGUCACCCAUUGGUUAUUAAUUCGUGCAAGCCACCGAUAGCUUAAGUUCUAAGUUUGCUUGCUCCAUCAAUCGUCACUUGCAAAUUAUUAAUUAGUAAGGAAGCAGGAAAUUGCGAUUUUAUGGGUGGUCUUAGUGAAACACUUCAACAAGAGAAAUCUCUCUAGGCUUUUGGGGAGGCUUUCGCUAUAAUAUAAUAGCCUAGUCUUGCAGUAAAGAACGCUGCUGUUUAGAUAGACUGGUGUUUGAACCCGAAGGAUAGUCCACAGAUUUUCAUGACACACACACAGCUUGUCAUUUUCCAGGCGCCGGGGGUGCAUGGCGCAGUCGUUGUUUGUCGUACAUGACUGAAUGUUAUGGAUCGUUACAGUGCUUAAAAUGUAAUUUCAGGAGUAGAAAACCUCUUUACUAAAUAAAUUAGUUAUUUCAAAACUUUUAAAUAAAUGAAUUUUAAAAACUUAUUUUUCAAUUGUACUUUUCUUUUCUAACUGUAACCUAAUUCUACUAUCUGUCAGUACUGUACCAACAAAAUAUGUAUACCUUAUAUUUAAAUAAAUGCAGUUUCCAUGUGAAUAAUUUGAGUAUGGCCUUUUAAAAAAAUAAAUAAACGGACUGACUCCUCAAA